rnacentral:rRNA from 1 species
GAUGAACGCUGGCGGCGUGCCUAAUACAUGCAAGUCGAGCGAACAGACGAGGAGCUUGCUCCUCUGACGUUAGCGGCGGACGGGUGAGUAACACGUGGAUAACCUACCUAUAAGACUGGGAUAACUUCGGGAAACCGGAGCUAAUACCGGAUAAUAUAUUGAACCGCAUGGUUCAAUAGUGAAAGACGGUUUUGCUGUCACUUAUAGAUGGAUCCGCGCCGCAUUAGCUAGUUGGUAAGGUAACGGCUUACCAAGGCAACGAUGCGUAGCCGACCUGAGAGGGCGAUCGGCCACACUGGAACUGAGACACGGUCCAGACUCCUACGGGAGGCAGCAGUAGGGAAUCUUCCGCAAUGGGCGAAAGCCUGACGGAGCAACGCCGCGUGAGUGAUGAAGGUCUUCGGAUCGUAUAACUCUGUUAUUAGGGAAGAACAAAUGUGUAAGUAACUAUGCACGUCUUGACGGUACCUAAUCAGAAAGCCACGGCUAACUACGUG